UUUCGCAAUGCCCGAAAGGGUGACGAAGCGACGCCGCGUGUGGGAUGAAGGCCUUCGGGUUGUAAACCACUGUCGGGAGUUAAGAAUUGUAGGAAUGCUAAUAGUAUUUCUACUUGACUAAGGCUCCGGAGGAAGCCACGGCCAACUCUGUGCCAGCAGCCGCGGUAAUACAGAGGCGGCAAGCGUUGUUCGGAAUUAUUGGGCGUAAAGAGCAUGUAGGCGGCUAUGUAAGUCGGUUGUGAAAGCCUUCCGCUUAACGGAAGAAUGGCGGUCGAAACUGCAUGGCUUGAGUGCGGGAGGGGAGAGUGGAACUUCUGGUGGAGCGGUGAAAUGCGUAGAUAUCAGAAGGAACGUCGGCGGCGAAAGCGACUCUCUAGACCGUAACUGACGCUGAGUGUGCGAAAGCUAGGGGAGCAAACGGGAUUAGAUACCCCGGUAGUCCUAGCCGUAAACGAUGGGCACUAAGUAGAGGGGUUUU
rnacentral:rRNA from 1 species